GUAGAGUAGAUAUUGCGCGUUAAGUGUCAUGGGAUGGGAAGUUGUCCAUGAACGAAGGUAAUCUGGUUAUCUUUGGAUUCGCCACGAUGUAAUAUUGCGUCCGCUA
rnacentral:ncRNA from 1 species